rnacentral:rRNA from 1 species
AGUGGCGCACGGGUGAGUAACACGUGGAUACCUACCCUCUAGUGGGGAAUAACUCUGGGAAACCGGGGCUAAUACCGCAUAAGUCCGAGAGGAGAAAGCGUAAAGCGCUGGAGGAGGGGUCCGCGGCCGAUUAGCUAGUUGGUGGGGUAAAGGCUCACCAAGGCAAAGAUCGGUAGCCGGCCUGAGAGGGCACACGGCCACACUGGCACUGAAACACGGGCCAGACUCCUACGGGAGGCAGCAGUGGGGAAUCUUGCACAAUGGAGGAAACUCUGAUGCAGCGACGCCGCGUGAGCGAUGAAGCCUUUCGGGGUGUAAAGCUCUUACGCCAGGGACGAUAGUGACGGUACCUGGAGAAGCAGCUGCGGCUAACUACGUGCCAGCAGCCGCGGUAAUACGUAGGCAGCAAGCGUUGUUCGGAAUUACUGGGCGUAAAGGGUGCGUAGGCGGUGUUCUAAGUUUGGUGUGAAAUCUCCCGGCUCAACUGGGAGGGUGCGCCGAAAACUGGAGCGCUUGAGUGCGGGAGAGGAAAGCGGAAUUCCUGGUGUAGCGGUGAAAUGCGUAGAGAUCAGGAGGAACACCUGCGGUGUAGACGGCUUUCUGGACCGUAACUGACGCUGAGGCACGAAAGCGUGGGGAGCAAACAGGAUUAGAUACCCUGGUAGUCCACGCCCUAAACGAUGCACACUUGGUGUGGGUUCUUCACUGGAUCCGUGCCGGAGCUAACGCGUUAA